rnacentral:rRNA from 1 species
UACGUAGGGGGCAAGCGUUGUCCGGAAUCAUUGGGCGUAAAGAGCGCGUAGGCGGCCCUGUAAGUCCGCUGUGAAAGUCAAGGGCUCAACCCUUGAAUGCCGGUGGAUACUGCAGGGCUAGAGUCCGGAAGAGGCGAGUGGAAUUCCUGGUGUAGCGGUGAAAUGCGCAGAUAUCAGGAGGAACACCAAUUGCGAAGGCAGCUCGCUGGGACGUUACUGACGCUGAGGCACGAAAGCGUGGGGAGCAAACAGG